AGAGGUUGAACAACUCUGACACCCAGUGGCAGUCACUGAAAUUGCAAAGAAAAAUAAGUGGGUCUCACAGUGCCUUCUAUAAAAUAAUCUUGCUUCUUGAUCCUUCAUAUGCACUGAGUGUACAAAACAUUAAGAACACGUGCUCUUUCCACGACAGACUGACCAGGUCAAUCCAGGUGAAAGUUAUGAUCCCUGAUGUCACUUGUUACAUCCACUUCAUUCAAUGUGGAUGAAGGGGAGAAAACAGGAUACAGAAUGAUUUUGAAGCCUUGAGACAUAGGUUGUAUGUGUGCCAUUCAGAGGGUGAUGAAUGGGCAAGACAAAAUAUUUAAGUGCCUUUGAACGGGGUAUGGUAGUACGUGCCAGGCGCAACAGGUUGUGUCAAGAACUGCAACGCUGCUGGGGUUUUCACGCUUAUCAGUUUCCCGUGUGUAUCAAGAAUGCUCCACCAACCAAAGGACAUCCACCCAACUCGAUUCUGUCAACUGUGGGAAGCAUUGGAGUCAACAUGGGCCAACAUCACUGUUGAACACUUUCGACACCUUGUAGAUGCCAUGCGCCCAAUGACUUGAGGCUGUUCCGAGGGAAAAAGAGGGUGCAACUCAAUAUUUGGAAGGUGUUCUUCGUGUUUCGUACACUCCGUGUACACAUACUGCCAUUGGUCUAUGACCCAAUGUUUGUUGGUCAAUAUCAUGGCUGCAUACAUUAUUUACAAACUCACAUCUUAAACCACCUAAAACGAACGAUACAAAUAUAGAAAUGUAACGUAACUUAUCGGUAUUGCAACAUUGUAACUAGCCAACUAGCUACAUAUUUUGUCAGUAGAUAUUUUGCUACAUGUGUGUCGCGUGCUCAAGUAGCCAAGCGUCGUCAACGGUUACAAUCAGUCAUUGACAUUGGAGAGAAAGCCAGCUAGCCAGUCAUAGGCAAAUGUGUUGCAUAUUAUUUUCGCAAAUAUCUACAAACUACAAGGCUAGGACCAAGUAGAGGUUGUCAAAAAGGAAGCUUCAAGAUCCCGAUAACAAACAAUCACCACCAUGCGUCGCAGAAGAUCAGCUUGUAGUGUCUACUCUGACAGCAGUGAGAUCGAUAUUGAUCUCUUAGCUGAGACAGAGUUGAGCAAACUCCAGAGACAGUUUCGCAUCAUGGAAGGAGACAGGCAGGCGUACACCGUAGAAUCACAGGAUCUCAUUCGCAGACAGCUGUGAGGAUAUUUUCGUCUUAAAGACUGAAAACAUAAUUACUUAAGAUUCAGUGUACCUCUAAAGUGGUCUUUUGCUAUGUUUACCUGGACAUUGAAACUAUACUGUACGCCCAUGACAACUUAUUGUGGAACAUGUGAACUCCGUUCUGCCACCUCUGGUCACUUGCCUCCCCCGCCCCCGAGUCCCUGCCCAUCUUCCGAAAACAUCUGAGAACCUACUUCUUCAAAGAGUAUCUUAUAGUCCUACUCCAGUCUCCUUUUCACCUCAUUUAUCACCUGAUUUUCUUAGCAAAAGGCACAUCUUAAUAGGGGGUCCAGGUAGCAUCAUGAAAUUAGGAUUUUUGUUUUGUUCUCUAUUGCUAGAGGGGGAGGCCGAUGACAUCAGAGAGUGCCAUAAGACCAACUCCUUGAAUGGCCUACUCCUUGAAGUUUGCAGUUGUCUGAAAAAACAUUAUUUUCUCAAAAUAAUACUAUUUUAUCCUUACAUGUGUGUUCAUUACUGUAUUUAUUUUUCAAAAUGAAAAGUUCAAAAAGAGCUAGAAUACCCUCCUCCAAUUUGUUUUAAUUAAAUGACACCCUUGCUUUUCAUGAAGUAACACUAUUUUUUCCUACUAGCACUGACUUUUCUGAAGGCUACUUUGAGGAUAAAUGUAUUUACUAUGACUGAGAUAUGUGGUUUUCUCACCGAGCUUUCUUAAGAUUAACACACUAACUGUAAGUCACUCUGGAUAAGAGCGUCUGCUAAAUGACUAAAAUGUAAAUGCAAAAUGUAAUAAAAAGGAGUUUAGUUGGAGAAAUGUAGCCAGCCCAGCCACUGUCAAUUGAACUGGCCUAUUUGCUAAC